GUGACUGCGUACCUUUUGUAUAAUGGGUCAGCGACUUAUAUUCUGUAGCAAGGUUAACCGAAUAGGGGAGCCGGAGGGAAACCGAGUCUUAAUUGGGCGUUAAGUUGCAGGGUAUAGACCCGAAACCCGGUGAUCUAGCCAUGGGCAGGUUGAAGGUUGGGUAACACUAACUGGAGGACCGAACCGACUAAUGUUGAAAAAUUAGCGGAUGACCUGUGGCUGGGGGUGAAAGGCCAAUCAAACCGGGAGAUAGCUGGUUCUCCCCGAAAGCUAUUUAGGUAGCGCCUCGUGAAUUCAUCUCCGGGGGUAGAGCACUGUUUCGGCUAGGGGGCCAUCCCGGCUUACCAACCCGAUGCAAACUGCGAAUACCGGAGAAUGUUAUCACGGGAGACACACGGCGGGUGCUAACGUCCGUCGUGAAGAGGGAAACAACCCAGACCGCCAGCUAAGGUCCCAAAGUCAUGGUUAAGUGGGAAACGAUGUGGGAAGGCCCAGACAGCCAGGAUGUUGGCUUAGAAGCAGCCAUCAUUUAAAGAAAGCGUAAUAGCUCACUGGUCGAGUCGGCCUGCGCGGAAGAUGUAACGGGGCUAAACCAUGCACCGAAGCUGCGGCAGCUA
rnacentral:rRNA from 1 species